rnacentral:rRNA from 1 species
GACGAACGCUGGCGGCGUGCUUAACACAUGCAAGUCGAACGAUGAAGCCGGAGCUUGCUCUGGUGAAUUAGUGGCGAACGGGUGAGUAACACGUGAGUAACCUGCCCUUGACUCUGGGAUAACUGCUGGAAACGGUAGCUAAUACCGGAUAUGACCAAUGAAGGCAUCUUCUGUUGGUGGAAAGAAUUUCGGUUCGGGAUGGACUCGCGGCCUAUCAGCUUGUUGGUGAGGUAACGGCUCACCAAGGCGACGACGGGUAGACGACCUGAGAGGGGGAUCGGCCACGCUGGGACUGAGUCACGGCCCAGACUCCUACGGGAGGCAGCAGUGGGGAAUAUUGCACAAUGGGCGCAAGCCUGAUGCAGCAACGCCGCGUGAGGGAUGACGGCCUUCGGGUUGUAAACCCCUUUUAGCAGGGAAGAAGCGAAAGUGACGGUACCUGCAGAAAAAGCACCGGCUAACUACGUGCCAGCCGCCGCGGUAA